UCUGUAUUACUUCCUAUUAGUCUCCCCAAGCACUCUGAAUAAGCUUUUUAGAGCAUAAUACUAUUAAAUUACAUUCACAUAUUGAUGUUCAGCCAUUUCCCAACUAUGGGACACAUUUUGUUUCUAGUUCCUUUUUAACAUUAGAAAUAAUGUGGUCAUGUUUUGUUUUGUUUUGUUUUUGCAUAUAGGUGUAUGCUUAUUUGCUGAUGAUCUCCUUAGAAUAUAAUUCCAAUAGUAGAAUUUCUGGAUCAAAGGAGAACAUAAAAAGUCCAAUGCAAAGAUAUUUUUCUUCUCCAUAAAUCAGAGGCACCCUUCCCUACAAUACAUAUGCUAGCUGUGAGGAGAGGCCAUUUAUGGAGCGGUACAUGGGCAAUUUGUGUGACAAGCACUACUUCUGAGUCAGAGGGCAAGCAAGUGGAAGAUAUGAGUGGUCUGGACCUUUCUGGAGAGACAGCUCCUACCUCUGAUGCUGCAAGGGAAAUAUCAAGUGUCUACUGCAUGUAGAACACUAUUCUGAGCCCUGGAGGAAAUACAAAGCCAUCAUGGAAAUUACAGUCUUAGAACAUAAACCAAUACAGAUAACCGUCACACUUAAUAUUCAACAAUAAGUUAUUGGAGAGGCACAGAACAAAGUGCUGUGCGAAGGGCAUCCUCUCCUAGGAUCACGCAGGGCCUCUUCUGUGCAGGCUGUGUUCCUGCUCACUUAUGUCACCUAGGCUGGCACCUAGUUACAUAACCCACGUUACAUGACUCUGAACCUGAUCCAGACGUGAUAGUGAAUUUGAUCCACAUGUAAAAAGAAGAAUAAAAGAGAUGAUCCAGGAAGUGUUCGUUCUCUC
rnacentral:lncRNA from 1 species